GCUCCCGUAGCUCAGGGGAUAGAGCAACGGUUUCCUAAACCGCAGGUCGUAGGUUCGAUUCCUACCGGGGGCG
rnacentral:tRNA from 1 species